rnacentral:rRNA from 1 species
CCAGCAGCUGCGGUAAUUCCAGCUCCAAUAGCGUAUAUUUAAGUUGUUGCAGUUAAAAAGCUCGUAGUUGGAUUUCGGGCAUGUCCUGGUGGUCCGCCUCUGGUGUGCACUGCCGGCGAUGUGCCUUUCUGUCGGGGACGGGCUCCUGGGCUUCACUGUCUGGGACUCGGGCUCGACGAGGUUACUUUGAGUAAAUUAGAGUGUUCAAAGCAGGCGAUCGCCCUGAAUACAUUAGCAUGGAAUAGCACGAUAGGACUCUGGCCUAUCUUGCUGGUCUGUAGGACCGGAGUAAUGAUUAAGAGGGACAGUCGGGGGCAUUCGUAUUUCAUUGUCAGAGGUGAAAUUCUUGGAUUUAUGAAAGACGAACUUCUGCGAAAGCAUUUGCCAAGGAUGUUUUCAUUGAUCAAGAACGAAAGU